rnacentral:rRNA from 1 species
AGAGUUUGAUCCUGGCUCAGAACGAACGCUGGCGGCGUGCCUAACACAUGCAAGUCGCACGAGAAAGGUCUUCGGACCGAGUAGAGUGGCGCACGGGUGAGUAAUACAUGGGAACAUUCCUAUGGGUGGGGGAUAACCACGGGAAACUGCGGCUAAUACCGCAUAGUCUCGAGAGAGUAAAGGUGGCUUAAAACCCACUAUCAAGCAGCUUCUUCGGAAGAUGCUUGAAUAGCGGGUAAAGCUAUCGCCGAUAGAUUGGCCCAUGUCCCAUUAGCUUGUUGGUGAGGUAACGGCUCACCAAGGCGACGAUGGGUAGCUGGUCUGAGAGGAUGAUCAGCCACACUGGAACUGAGACACGGUCCAGACUCCUACGGGAGGCAGCAGUGGGGAAUAUUGCACAAUGGGGGAAACCCUGAUGCAGCAACGCCGCGUGAGUGAAGAAGGCUCUUGGGUCGUAAAGCUCUUUCGGCUGGGAAGAAGGUGCGUACGGUGAAUAAUCGUACGAGCUGACGGUACCAGAAGAAGAAGGACCUGCUAACUGCGUGCCAGCAGCAGCGGUAAUACGUGGGGUCCGAGCGUUGUUCGGAAUUACUGGGCGUAAAGCGCACAUAGGCGGGCAAGUGUGUCGAUUGUGAAAUCCCUGGGCUAAACCUGGGAACUGCAGUCGAAACUAUUUGUCUUGAGUGCCUGAGAGGUUGGGGGAAUUCCUGGUGGAGUAGUGAAAUACGUAGAGAUCAGGAGGAACACCGGAGGCGAAGGCGCCUAACUGGCGGUGCACUGACGCUAAUUGUGCGAAAGCGCGGGGAUCAAACAGGAUUAGAUACCCUGGUAGUCCGCGCCGUAAACGAUGGAUACUCGGUGUUCGGAGCAUUAACCCUCUGAGUACCAAAGCACACGCAUUAAGUAUCCCGCCUGGGGAGUACGGUCGCAAGGCUAAAACUCAAAGGAAUUGACGGGGGCCCGCACAAGAGGUGGAGUAUGUGGUUUAAUUCGAAGCAACGCGCAGAACCUUACCUGGCCUUGACAUCCCACGAAGCUUGCAGAGAUGUAAGUGUGACUUCGGUCACGUGGUGACAGGUGCUGCAUGGCUGUCGUCAGCUCGUGUUGUGAAAUGUUCGGUUAAGUCCGGCAACGAGCGCAACCCCUAUCCUUAGUUACCAACAGUAAGAUGGGGACUCUAGGGAGACUGCCGGUGUUAAACCGGAGGAAGGCGGGGAUGACGUCAAGUCCUCAUGGCCCUUACGGCCAGGGCUACACACGUACUACAAUGGUCGAAACAAACCGUUCCGAAACCGUGAGGUGGAGGUAAUCGGAAAAACACGAUCUCAGUCCGGAUUGAAGUCUGCAACUCGACUUCAUGAAGUUGGAAUCUCUAGUAAUCGCAGAUCAGCACGCUGCGGUGAAUACGUUCCCGGGCCUUGUACACACCGCCCGUCACACCACGAAAGUGGUCAUAACCAGAAGUGUCUGAGCUAACGCAAGAGGCAAGAUACCAAGGUUGUGGCCGUGAUUGGGGUGAAGUCGUAACAAGGUA